UACGUAGGGUGCGAGCGUUAAUCGGAAUUACUGGGCGUAAAGCGUGCGCAGGCGGUUUUGUAAGCCGGAUGUGAAAUCCCCGGGCUUAACCUGGGAAUGGCAUUCGGGACUGCAAGGCUGGAGUGCGGCAGAGGAGACUGGAAUUCCUGGUGUAGCAGUGAAAUGCGUAGAUAUCAGGAGGAACACCGAUGGCGAAGGCAGGUCUCUGGGCUGACACUGACGCUCAUGCACGAAAGCGUGGGAGCAAACAGGAUAGAAACCCUAGU
rnacentral:rRNA from 1 species